rnacentral:rRNA from 1 species
AACGUAGGAGGCUAGCGUUAUCCGGAUUUAUUGGGCGUAAAGCGCGUGCAGGCGGUCUGGUAAGUUGGAUGUGAAAGCUCCUGGCUUAACUGGGAGAGGUCGUUCAAUACUGUCAGACUAGAGAAUGGGAGAGGGAGGUGGAAUUCCGGGUGUAGUGGUGAAAUGCGUAGAUAUCCGGAGGAACACCAGUGGCGAAAGCGGCCUCCUGGACCACUUCUGACGCUAAGACGCGCAAGCUAGGGUAGCAAACGGGAUUAGAGACCCCGGUAGUCCUAGCUGUAAACGAUGUGAACUUGGCGUUGGCGGAGUUAAAUCUGCCAGUGCCGAAGCUAACGCGAUAAGUUCACCGCCUGGGGACUACGACCGCAAGGUUAAA